GGCCCAUGGCUCAAUGGUAGAGCGUUCGACUCAAAUACCAAAGGUCGCGGGUUCGAAUCCCUUGUGUGCCA
rnacentral:tRNA from 1 species